rnacentral:rRNA from 1 species
UACGAAGGGGGCUAGCGUUGUUCGGAAUUACUGGGCGUAAAGGGCGCGUAGGCGGUGUGUCAAGUCAGGCGUGAAAGCCCCGGGCUCAACCUGGGAACCGCGCUUGAGACUGGCACGCUAGAGUUCGGGAGAGGAUGGUGGAAUUCCCAGUGUAGAGGUGAAAUUCGUAGAUAUUGGGAAGAACACCGAUGGCGAAGGCAGCCAUCUGGACCGACACUGACGCUGAGGCGCGAAAGCGUGGGGGAGCAAACAGG